AGUGAACGCUGGCGGCGUGCUUAACACAUGCAAGUCGAACGAGAACGGAUUAUAGCUUGCUAUAAUUGUCAGCUAAGUGGCGCACGGGUGAGUAAUGUAUAGGUAAUAUGCCUCUUACUAAGGGAUAACAAAUGGAAACGUUUGCUAAUACCUUAUACUCCUUAUUAACAUAAGUUAAUAAGGGAAAGAUUUAUUGGUAAGAGAUUAGCCUGUAUUGUAUCAGUUAGUUGGUGGGGUAAUGGCUUACCAAGACUAUGACACAUAACUGGUUUGAGAGGAUGAUCAGUCACACUGGAACUGAGACACGGUCCAUACUCCUACGGGAGGCAGCAGUGUGGAAUAUUGCACAAUUGACGAAAGUCUGAUGCAGCAACGCCGCGUGGAGGAUGACACAUUUCGGUGCGUAAACUCCUUUUAUAUGAGAAGAUAAUGACGGUAUUAUAUGAAUAAGCACCGGCUAACUCCGUGCCAGCCGCCGCCGUAA
rnacentral:rRNA from 1 species